GAUGAACGCUAGCGGCAGGCUUAACACAUGCAAGUCGAACGGGUGCAGCAAUGCAUCAGUGGCAGACGGGUGAGUAACACGUGGGAACCUUCCUCGGGGUACGGAACAACUCAGGGAAACUUGAGCUAAUACCGUAUACGUCCGUGAGGAGAAAGAUUUAUCGCCCUGAGACGGGCCCGCGUCGGAUUAGCUAGUUGGUGGGGUAACGGCCUACCAAGGCGACGAUCCGUAGCUGAUCUUAGAGGAUGAUCAGCCACACUGGGACUGAGACACGGCCCAGACUCCGACGGGAGGCAGCAGUGGGGAAUCUUGGACAAUGGGCGCAAGCCUGAUCCAGCCAUGCCGCGUGAGUGAAGAAGGUCUUCGGAUUGUAAAGCUCUUUUGCCAGGGACGAUAAUGACGGUACCUGGAGAAUAAGCCCCGGCAAACUUCGUGCCAGCCGCCGCGGUAAAAC
rnacentral:rRNA from 1 species